AGUGAACGCUGGCGGUAGGCCUAACACAUGCAAGUCGAACGGCAGCACAGAGGAGCUUGCUCCUUGGGUGGCGAGUGGCGGACGGGUGAGGAAUACAUCGGAAUCUACCCUGUCGUGGGGGAUAACGUAGGGAAACUUACGCUAAUACCGCAUACGACCUACGGGUGAAAGCAGGGGAUCUUCGGACCUUGCGCGAUUGAAUGAGCCGAUGUCGGAUUAGCUAGUUGGCGGGGUAAAGGCCCACCAAGGCGACGAUCCGUAGCUGGUCUGAGAGGAUGAUCAGCCACACUGGAACUGAGACACGGUCCAGACUCCUACGGGAGGCAGCAGUGGGGAAUAUUGGACAAUGGGCGCAAGCCUGAUCCAGCCAUACCGCGUGGGUGAAGAAGGCCUUCGGGUUGUAAAGCCCUUUUGUUGGGAAAGAAAUCCGUCUGGUUAAUACCCGGGUGGGAUGACGGUACCCAAAGAAUAAGCACCGGCUAACUUCGUGCCAGCCGCCGCGGUAA
rnacentral:rRNA from 1 species